rnacentral:rRNA from 1 species
AAUGAACGCUGGCGGCAUGCCUUACACAUGCAAGUCGAACGGCAGCAUGACCUAGCUUGCUAGGUUGAUGGCGAGUGGCGAACGGGUGAGUAAUGCAUCGGAACGUGCCUUUUAGUGGGGGAUAACGUAGCGAAAGUUACGCUAAUACCGCAUAUUCUCUGAGGAGGAAAGCAGGGGACCUUCGGGCCUUGCGCUAGAAGAGCGGCCGAUGUCGGAUUAGCUAGUUGGUGAGGUAAGGGCUCACCAAGGCAACGAUCCGUAGCGGGUCUGAGAGGAUGAUCCGCCACACUGGGACUGAGACACGGCCCAGACUCCUACGGGAGGCAGCAGUGGGGAAUUUUGGACAAUGGGCGCAAGCCUGAUCCAGCCAUGCCGCGUGAGUGAAGAAGGCCUUCGGGUUGUAAAGCUCUUUCGGCUGGGAAGAAAUCGCACCCUCUAAUACAGGGUGCGGAUGACGGUACCAGCAUAAGAAGCACCGGCUAACUACGUG